UACCGGACGAGAAGCACCGGCGAACUACGUGCCGGAGCCGCGGUAAUACGUAGGGUGCAAGCGUUAAUCGGAAUUACUGGGCGUAAAGCGUGCGCAGGCGGUUGUGCAAGUCUGAUGUGAAAGCCCCGGGCUUAACCUGGGAACGGCAUUGGAGACUGCAAGACUAGAGUGCGUCAGAGGGGGGUAGAAUUCCACGUGUAGCAGUGAAAUGCGUAGAGAUGUGGAGGAAUACCGAUGGCGAAGGCACCCCCCUGGGAUGACACUGACGCUCAUGCACGAAAGCGUGGGGAGCAAACUCGAUUAGAUACCCUGGUAGUCCACGCCCUAAACGAUGUCAACUAGCUGUUGGGGGUUUGAAUCCUUGGUAUGUACCUAACGCGUGAAUUUGACCGCCUGGGGAAUACGGCCGCAAGGUUAAAACUC
rnacentral:rRNA from 1 species